UGUGUAGGCGGUUCUCUAAGUUUGGUGUGAAAUCUCCCGGCUCAACCGGGAGGGUGCGCCGAAAACUGGAGGACUGGAGUGCGGGAGAGGAGAGUGGAAUUCCUGGUGUAGCGGUGAAAUGCGUAGAUAUCAGGAGGAACACCGGCGGUGUAGACGGCUCUCUGGACCGUAACUGACGCUGAGACACGAAAGCGCGGGGAGCAAACA
rnacentral:rRNA from 1 species